ACCUCCAGGACUCGAAGUCCUCCUUGAAGCCGCGCAUGGCGGUGCGUCCAUGCUCGGCUCGGACCUGGCUAGCAGGCUUCGCCGCAAGGAAGGACCAAGACGAGGAGCUCAGCAAGCACAAGCCAGCGCCAACGGCCAAGGCAGGAAGCAGAGGCGAAGAGCGCCUCGCUUGGCUCGG
rnacentral:SRP_RNA from 14 species